rnacentral:rRNA from 1 species
UCCGAAGGGAGCUAGCGUUGUUCGGAAUCACUGGGCGUAAAGCGCACGUAGGCGGAUGUGUCAGUCAGGGGUGAAAUCCCGGAGCUCAACUUCGGAACUGCCUUUGAUACAGCACGUCUUGAGUCCGGAAGAGGUGGGUGGGAUUCCUAGUGUAGAGGUGAAAUUCGUAGAUAUUAGGAAGAACACCGGUGGCGAAGGCGGCCCACUGGUCCGGUACUGACGCUGAGGUGCGAAAGCGUGGGGAGCAAACAGG